AUACAUGUUUACUCAAUAUUUUAAUAGUUUUGUUUUUUAUUUUGCAAAAUAUUUGACAUUUUUUAAGAAAAAAAUUCUAAAUUUAGAAAAACUCUUCUCCCACAAUACCAAUUACAAUAUUAGCUUUUUUAUCCUUAUUGGUUCAGAAUAUACUUUUUCUGAUAGUAUUGAGCUUAGUAUAUGGAAGAAAAUUUUCCUGGGUAGGAAUUGGCAGGAAUUCUAAGCAAGCAUGCCAUGCCAUUUUAAACUUAAUAAUUAUUAUAAAAACGAAAAAUUGUUUUAAUUGUUAUUCAAUAAUAAUAAAUAUAAUCUUCAAUGUAUAGUAAUUAAAUUUCAAAAAGUCUUUUUAAAUUAGCGCAAAAUAAUUUUUAAAACAACAAUUUACUCGUUCCAUGUCUUUGAUUUGUUAACAUGUCAAAGGUCUACUUCCAUUCCGUGAGCUUUGUCAGAAUGCAUGUCAAAAGCACUCAUGAGAUUAAAAAUAUCUAAAAUUGAACCAAUUCUUCAAGAUGGUAAAAUUUCUUGGAAUUUAACUCAGAUCUCUAGGUGGUAAGAUUGUCUAUUAUCCAGAAUUAAAACUUCUAAGCUGGUAACUGAUUGCUUUACCUUCCAUUUCCAAUUGACAUAUAUAGUUGUAAAGUUUUAAUAAAACAGAAAAAGUAUUUCUAAGUAAUUUGCUAUGAAAAUAAUUAAGUUUGGAAUACUGUAAAGGCAAUCAUAUAAUUGAA
rnacentral:lncRNA from 1 species